GGACACCUCAUGAGCAGGCCAGCAGCAACAAACUACACAUUUCCUCUAUGCACAAAGACCCUUCUUCCAUCAACCUUCUCUCCCUUAAAGAGGCUUCAGCCAGGCAAAACUUCACCCCAGACAGCCCUGAGGAGACCAGGAAGUUCUGCAAAUACAAUGUUGGGAUUAACAGCCAUGUUCAUCGAUAACAGCAAAGCAAGCACCAUUCCAUUAUGCUACAGACUUGAAGUCAGAGGAGAGCGUCACAGUCUUCUUUGUGCUCCAGCUGUUUCUUGCCAAACCAGUGAUUUUCCAUUUGUGGUCUGUGAGUAAUGCUGACCCGGUUGCAGGUGAUAGAAGUGAUGAAGCCUUUACCCUCUGGAAGCCUGGUCCAGGAGUGCAUUGAAACAUCCUUCCCCUCCAAAUCUCACCACUGGCACACAGAAGAGCUGCUUCGUCAGACACAGAAAUAAGAACACAUCUGAGAAAAAAAAAAAACAACAAAACCCACAGCAUUUUGUAAGCUCUGGGCAUUUGGGAACUGGGGCAGGUGAGAGGCUGAAUGGUGAACAAGGUCCCAGCUGAGCACAAAAGACACAGAGGCACCUCUCUAUAUUCCCUGCUGUUGCCGGGACCUUUGAUGUUGGAACACAAUCGUGAACACAUUUUUCUGCUCUUCUAUUCUGACUUGAUUGUCUUUCAGGUUUAAAAUAUCCUGAAAGCAGCAUAGACUAUCCUCCUUGUCAGCAGUUGGGAGGGGGAGGAAAGAAUUCUUGUGCAGGUGGGAAUCCAUCCAGCACGUGUGGCUUUGCAACCAGUUGUUUGGAGUGCAGCUAAUUAGUCAUCAAUGGUAAAUGACAAAAGGAUGACUCCAGCUGAGCCAGAGGUAAAUAAUUAGUUAACUCGUUUGUUAAAUGGUAUGAGGAAGGAGGGAUCUGUCAGCUGGCUCAGCGCUGAUGAGGGGGAGGAAAUGCAUAUCCAUCACAGUGAAUGUAUGGAUUUUCCAGGUCUGAGGAUGGUGUUGCCCAAUGUAGAUGUUGUGGGCAGUGUUACCAAAAGUGUUCACUCUGAAAUUUAUCCAGCAACCAAAAAGCACCUGCCUGUAAUAAUACAAGAGUUGUGAUGUGCAUUAAAAAGGGUCUGAGGGGUUGUUUCUACCAGCUCUGGGUAGGUGUAAAUACCUGAUUUCUUCUAGGUCUUGCCAAUUAUUGGAAGUGAUGUGAUUUUUGUAGAAAAAUAAAGACCUCAUAUCAAAGAGAUGCUUAACA
rnacentral:lncRNA from 1 species